UACGAAGGGUGCAAGCGUUACUCGGAAUUACUGGGCGUAAAGCGUGCGUAGGUGGUUCGUUAAGUCUGCUGUGAAAGCCCCGGGCUCAACCUGGGAAUGGCAGUGGAUACUGGCGGGCUAGAGUGCGGUAGAGGGUAGUGGAAUUCCCGGUGUAGCGGUGAAAUGCGUAGAGAUCGGGAGGAACACCAGUGGCGAAGGCGGCUACCUGGACCAGCACUGACACUCAGGCACGAAAGCGUGGGGAG
rnacentral:rRNA from 1 species